rnacentral:rRNA from 1 species
CGAUGGAUGCCCGCUGUUUGCGAUAUACUGUGAGCGGCCAAGAGAAAUCGUUAAGCAUCCCACCUGGGGAGUACGCCGGCAACGGUGAAACUCAAAGGAAUUGACGGGGGCCCGCACAAGCGGAGGAACAUGUGGUUUAAUUCGAUGAUACGCGAGGAACCUUACCCGGGCUUGAACUGCCAGCGAACGAUUCAGAGAUGAUGAGGUCCUUCGGGACGCUGGUGGAGGUGCUGCAUGGUUGUCGUCAGCUCGUGCCGUGAGGUGUCGGCUUAAGUGCCAUAACGAGCGCAACCCUUUUCUUUAGUUGCCAUCAGGUAAUGCUGGGCACUCUGGAGAUACUGCCACCGUAAGGUGUGAGGAAGGUGGGGAUGACGUCAAAUCAGCACGGCCCUUACGUCCGGGGCUACACACGUGUUACAAUGGGGGGUACAGAGAGUCGGAUAUACGCAAGUAUGUUCUAAUCCUUAAAGCCUUCCUCAGUUCGGAUUGGGGUCUGCAACCCGACCCCAUGAAGCUGGAUUCGCUAGUAAUCGCGCAUCAGCCAUGGCGCGGUGAAUACGUUCCCGGGCCUUGUACACACCGCCCGUCAAGCCAUGAAAGCCGGGGGCGCUUGAAGUCCGUGACCGCAAGGAUCGGCCUAGAGCGAAACUGGUAAUUGGGGCUAAGUCGUAACAAGGUAACCGUA